UUCCGUUGAUCCUGCGGAAGGUCGCUGCUAUUUGGGUUCGACUAAGCCAUGCAAGUCAGAGGGUCUCUUCGGAGGCACAGGCAGACUGCUCAGUAACACGUCAAUAACCUACCCUUAGGUCUGGUAUAACCUUGGAAAACUGAGGCUAAAACCGGAUAUGAGAAAAUAAUUGGAAAAUAUCUUCUCUGAAAAGCAAUGCCUAUGGAUGGGUUGGCGGCUGAUUAGGUUGUUGGCGGUGCAAAGGACCACCAAGCCGAUGAUCAGUACGGGCCUUGAGAGAGGUGGCCCGGAGAAGGGCACUGAGAUACUGGCCCUAGCCCUACGGGGUGCAGCAGGCGCGAAACCUUUACAAUGCACGAAAGUGUGAUAAGGGAACCCAAAGUGCCUUGUUUUACAAGGCUUUUGCCAAGAGUAAAUACCUUGGCGAAUAAGUGGUGGGUAAGACUGGUGCCAGCCGCCGCGGUAACACCAGCGCCACGAGUGGGGAUCACGAUUAUUGGGCCUAAAGCGUCCGUAGCCGGUUUGACAAAUCUUUUGUGAAAUUGUUAGGCUUAACCUAGCAACGUGCAGAAGACACUAUCAGACUUGGAACCGGGAGGAGUUAGGAGUAUGUCUGGGGGAGCGGUAAAAUGUUAUAAUCCCAGAUAGACUACCUGUGGCGAAGGCGCCUAACUAGAACGGGUUCGACGGUCAGGGACGAAAGCGAGGGGAUCAAUCCGGAUUAGAUACCCGAGUAGUCCUCGCUGUAAACGCUGUGAGCAAGGUGUUACACAUUCUUCGCGAAUGUGUAGUGUCGAAACGAAGGUGUUAAGCUCACCGCCUGGGAAGUACGGUCGCAAGACUGAAACUUAAAGGAAUUGGCGGGGGAGCACCACAAGGGGUGCGGCGUGCGGUUUAAUCUAAUUCAACGCAGAGAAUCUCACCAGCAGCGACGGCAGGAUGAAAGUCAGUCUGAAGGGCUUACUAGACAAGCCGAGAGGUAGUGCAUGGCCGCCGUCAGCUCGUGCCGUAAGGUGUCCUGUUAAGUCAGGCAACGAGCAAGACCUGUACCUACAAUUGCUAACGACCAUUUUAAUGUGAUCGAACACAUUGUAGGAACUGCCCGUGAAAACGGGAGGAAGGUGCAGGCAACGGUAGGUCUGUAUGCUCCGAAUCUGCUGGGCUACACGCGCGCAACAAUGGUAGGAACAAUGGGCUGCAACUUCGAAAGAAGAAGCUAAUCCUCUAAAUCCUAUCUCAGUUUAGAUUGAGGAUUGUAACUCAUCCUCAUGACAAUGGAAUCCCUAGUAAUCGGAUCUUAUCAUAAUCCGGUGAAUAUGUCCCUGCUCCUUGCACACACCGCCCGUCAAACCACCCGAGUAGUGUUUAGAUGAGGCCCAAUUUUUAAUUGGCUCGAAUCUAAACUCAGCGAGGAGGGUUAAGUCGUCACAAGGUA
rnacentral:rRNA from 1 species